rnacentral:rRNA from 1 species
UACGGAGGGGGCUAGCGUUGUUCGGAAUUACUGGGCGUAGAGCGCACGUAGGCGGUCCAGAAAGUUGGAGGUGAAAUCCCAGGGCUCAACCUUGGAACUGCCUUCAAAACUCCUGAUCUUGAGUUCGGGAGAGGUGGAUGGAAUUCCGAGUGUAGAGGUGAAAUUCGUAGAUAUUCGGAGGAACACCAGUGGCGAAGGCGGCCCACUGGCUCGAUACUGACGCUGAGGUGCGAAAGCGUGGGGAGCAAACAGG